UGAGAUUUCCCAACUUCGGUUAUAAGAUCCCUCGAAGAUGACGAGGUUAAUAGGUUCGAGGUGGAAGCGUGGUGACACGUGGAGCUGACGAAUACUAAUCGAUCGAAGACUUAAUCAAUUU
rnacentral:rRNA from 1 species